rnacentral:rRNA from 1 species
UGGCCAAGUAAGUCUUUAGUGAAAUCUUAGGGCUUAACCCUGAGAAGCGCUAAAGAAACUACCUGGCUUGGGGACGGGAGAAGCCACGGGUACUCCAGGGGUAGUGGUAAAAUGCUGUAAUCCUUGGGGGACCAACGGUAGCGAAAGCGCGUGGCUAGAACGUGCCCGACGGUGAGGAGCGAAGGCCAGGGGCGCAACCCGGAUUAGAUACCCGGUUAGUCCUGGCUGUAAAUCAUGCGAAUUAGGUGUUCCAUGGCCCACGCGGCCAUGGGUCGCCGUAGGGAAACCGUUAAAUUCGCCGCCUGGGGA